rnacentral:rRNA from 1 species
GUGAGGAAUUUUCCGCAAUGGGCGAAAGCCUGACGGAGCAAUGCCGCGUGAAGGAUGAAGGCCUAUGGGUUGUAAACUUCUUUUCUCAGAAAAGAAUUAUGACGGUAUCUGAGGAAUAAGCAUCGGCUAACUCUGUGCCAGCAGCCGCGGUAAGACAGAGGAUGCAAGCGUUAUCCGGAAUGAUUGGGCGUAAAGCGUCUGUAGGUUGUUUAAAAAGUAUUCUGUCAAAGAUUAGGGCUUAACCCUAGAUAGGCAGAAUAAACUUUUAAGCUAGAGUUUGGUAGAGGCAGAUGGAAUUCCCGGUGGAGCGGUGAAAUGCGUAGAUAUCGGGAGGAACACCAAAGGCGAAGGCACUCUGCUGGGCCAAUACUAACACUGAGAGACGAAAGCGAGGGGAGCAAAUGGGAUUAGAAACCCCAGUAGUCC